CCCACGUCCUUAGUUGCCAUCAUUUAGUUGGGCACUCUAGGGAGACUGCCGGUGAUAAGCCGCGAGGAAGGUGUGGAUGACGUCAAGUCCUCAUGGCCCUUACGGGAUGGGCUACACACGUGCUACAAUGGCGGUGACAGUGGGACGCGAAGCCGCGAGGUGGAGCAAAUCCCCAAAAACCGUCUCAGUUCGGAUUGCACUCUGCAACUCGGGUGCAUGAAGGCGGAAUCGCUAGUAAUCGUGGAUCAGCACGCCACGGUGAAUACGUUCCCGGGCCUUGUACACACCGCCCGUCACACCAUGGGAGUUGGUCUUACCCGACGGCGCUGCGCCAACCGCAAGGAGGCAGGCGACCACGGUAGGGUCAGCGACUGGGGUGAAGUCGUAACAAGGUAGCCGUAGGGGAACCUGCGGCUGGAUCACCUCCUUUCUAAGGA
rnacentral:rRNA from 1 species